AGUGAACGCUGGCGGUAUGCCUAAUACAUGCAAGUCGAACGGCAGCACAGUAAGAUUUUGCUCUUACGGGUGGCGAGUGGCGGACGGGUGAGGAAUAGAUCGGAUUCCUCUUUUACGGGGGUGACUACGUGGGACAACAUACGCUAAUACCUCAUAUGUCCUACGGGAGAGAGCAGGAGUUCUUCGGACCUUGCGCGAUUGAUUGAGCCGAUGUCGGAUUAGCUAGUUGGCGGGGUAAAGGCCCACCAAGGCGACGAUCCGUAGCUGGUCUGAGAGGAUGAUCGGCCACACUGGAACUGAGACACGGUCCAGACUCCUACGGGAGGCAGCAGUAGGGAAUAUUGCACAAUGGGCGAAAGCCUGACGGAGCAAUACCGCGUGGGUGAAGAAGGUCUUCGGGUUGUAAAGCUCUUUUAUUGGGGAAGAACAAAAGCGUAAUUAUCCAUCGCUGUUUUGACGGUACCCAAAGAGAAAGCCACGGCUAACUUCGUG
rnacentral:rRNA from 1 species